GCCGAGGGGGAGGAACUGGGCUGGUUUUUGAUGGCCUCAUUUGUGGCAUGUCUUCUUCUGGGAGAGAGGGAGGUCAAGGUGAAUCCCUCUUUCAGACUCAGAUGACUCAGGCGACGUCACCCCUGGGCAGAAGAGGCAAUGGUGGGGGCGUUUCCAGCCAGGCUGAGUGAGGCGAGGUGACAUUUAAGGGCUUUGAAGAAACGCAGCACUUCCGGCAGAGGGACCCUAAAUUGCACCUGCGUUUCUGCAGGCUCUUCACUUGCUUUUUAUAUCCUUGCAGGCUGUCUCUGGAAUUGCUGAAAGGUGGAAAAAUCUGCACAUUCCUUAGGCGUUUGGCAGCCAGGCGGGGAGGAGAGUGAUGAGAACCAGGCUCUUCAGGAAACAGUGAUAAAGGAAAACACCGAAUUAUCUCCUUGUUCACAUUCCUCUUCCUCAGAAGUCACCCACUACUUCAUUACCCUGGAGACUUCCUUCAAGAAAAAAGCAGGAGUGUGAUAAGAUGAAAAGUUUUUCUCUCAAAAUUCUUUUGUAACUUGAAAUAAAUUGUACUAAGAAAGCA